AUUGAACGCUGGCGGCAUGCUUUACACAUGCAAGUCGAACGGUAACAGGUUAAGCUGACGAGUGGCGAACGGGUGAGUAAUGCAUCGGAACGUGCCCAGUCGUGGGGGAUAACGCAGCGAAAGCUGCGCUAAUACCGCAUACGAUCUGAGGAUGAAAGCGGGGGACCGUAAGGCCUCGCGCGAUCGGAGCGGCCGAUGUCAGAUUAGGUAGUUGGUGGGGUAAAGGCUCACCAAGCCAACGAUCUGUAGCUGGUCUGAGAGGACGACCAGCCACACUGGGACUGAGACACGGCCCAGACUCCUACGGGAGGCAGCAGUGGGGAAUUUUGGACAAUGGGCGAAAGCCUGAUCCAGCAAUGCCGCGUGCAGGAAGAAGGCCUUCGGGUUGUAAACUGCUUUUGUACGGAGCGAAAAGGUCUCCUCUAAUACAGGGGGCUCAUGACGGUACCGUAAGAAUAAGCACCGGCUAACUACGUGCCAGCCGCCGCCGUAAUAC
rnacentral:rRNA from 1 species